UUAGGUCUUGCUAACGAUGAUAUAGAUGUUUGUAAGCACUCAUGUAUAAAAAAAUUUUCUUCCAGCCAAAACUUUAAAGGACGACCUAGUUGUAUUUCAGGAUGUAGAAGAAUUUUAGAUGUUUGCAGAAAAGGAUGUAUCGAUGAUUGUAUAAAAAGAUAUCCAUAUAAACUUACCAAGAAAGAAAGAGAAGCAACUAGAUCAGAUGUUC